GGAAUCUGCCUGGUAGUGGGGGACAACGUUUCGAAAGGAACGCUAAUACCGCAUACGUCCUACGGGAGAAAGCAGGGGACCUUCGGGCCUUGCGCUAUCAGAUGAGCCUAGGUCGGAUUAGCUAGUUGGUGAGGUAAUGGCUCACCAAGGCUACGAUCCGUAACUGGUCUGAGAGGAUGAUCAGUCACACUGGAACUGAGACACGGUCCAGACUCCUACGGGAGGCAGCAGUGGGGAAUAUUGGACAAUGGGCGAAAGCCUGAUCCAGCCAUGCCGCGUGUGUGAAGAAGGUCUUCGGAUUGUAAAGCACUUUAAGUUGGGAGGAAGGGCAGUAAGCGAAUACCUUGCUGUUUUGACGUUACCGACAGAAUAAGCACCGGCUAACUCUGUGCCAGCAGC
rnacentral:rRNA from 1 species